rnacentral:rRNA from 1 species
UGCAGGGCGCAGCUUACCAUGCAGUCGAGCGGUAACAGGGGUAGCUUGCUACCCGCUGACGAGCGGCGGACGGGUGAGUAAUGCAUAGGAAACUGCCCAGUAGUGGGGGAUAGCCCGGGGAAACCCGGAUUAAUACCGCAUACGUCCUUCGGGAGAAAGCAGGGGAUCUUCGGACCUUGCGCUAUUGGAUGUGCCUAUGUCGGAUUAGCUGGUUGGUGAGGUAAUGGCUCACCAAGGCGACGAUCCGUAGCUGGUCUGAGAGGAUGAUCAGCCACAUCGGGACUGAGACACGGCCCGAACUCCUACGGGAGGCAGCAGUGGGGAAUAUUGGACAAUGGGGGCAACCCUGAUCCAGCCAUGCCGCGUGUGUGAAGAAGGCUUUCGGGUUGUAAAGCACUUUCAGUGAGGAGGAAAAGUUAGUCCUUAAUACGGGCUAGCCUUGACGUUACUCACAGAAGAAGCACCGGCUAACUCCGUGCCAGCAGCCGCGGUAAUACGGAGGGUGCAAGCGUUAAUCGGAAUUACUGGGCGUAAAGCGCGCGUAGGUGGUUUGAUAAGCGAGAUGUGAAAGCCCCGGGCUUAACCUGGGAACGGCAUUUCGAACUGUCAGGCUAGAGUGUGGUAGAGGGUAGUGGAAUUUCCUGUGUAGCGGUGAAAUGCGUAGAUAUAGGAAGGAACACCAGUGGCGAAGGCGGCUACCUGGACCAACACUGACACUGAGGUGCGAAAGCGUGGGGAGCAAACAGGAUUAGAUACCUCUGGUAGUCA